rnacentral:rRNA from 1 species
CAUGCCUUACACAUGCAAGUCGAACGGCAGCACGGGAGCAAUCCUGGUGGCGAGUGGCGAACGGGUGAGUAAUACAUCGGAACGUGCCCUGUCGUGGGGGAUAACUAGUCGAAAGAUUAGCUAAUACCGCAUACGACCUGAGGGUGAAAGCGGGGGACCGUAAGGCCUCGCGCGAUAGGAGCGGCCGAUGUCUGAUUAGCUAGUUGGUGGGGUAAAGGCCCACCAAGGCGACGAUCAGUAGCUGGUCUGAGAGGACGAUCAGCCACACUGGGACUGAGACACGGCCCAGACUCCUACGGGAGGCAGCAGUGGGGAAUUUUGGACAAUGGGGGCAACCCUGAUCCAGCAAUGCCGCGUGUGUGAAGAAGGCCUUCGGGUUGUAAAGCACUUUUGUCCGGAAAGAAAUCCCUUGCCCUAAUACGGCGGGGGGAUGACGGUACCGGAAGAAUAAGCACCGGCUAACUACGUGCCAGCAGCCGCGGUAAUACGUAGGGUGCUAGCGUUAAUCGGAAUUACUGGGCGUAAAGCGUGCGCAGGCGGUUUU